ACGGGUGCGGAACACGUACGCAAUCUACCCAGAACCGGUGAAUAGCCCUCCGAAAGGAGGAUUAAUACACCGUAACAUAUUGAAAAGGCAUCUUUUUAAUAUUAAAGCUCCGGCGGUUUUGGAUGAGCGUGCGGCUGAUUAGGUAGUUGGCGGAGUAAUAGCCCACCAAGCCAACGAUCAGUAACUGGUGUGAGAGCACGACCAGUCACACGGGCACUGAGACACGGGCCCG
rnacentral:rRNA from 1 species